rnacentral:tRNA from 1 species
GACGACGUAGCUCAGCAGGAUAGAGCAUCCAAGCUUCGAUGUAUUCUAUGGUUGGCACCUAGAUAGUACAGGCUGGAAGGGCGCGGGUUCAAGUCCCGCCGUCGUCCCCA